rnacentral:rRNA from 1 species
AGAGUUUGAUCAUGGCUCAGAACGAACGCUGGCGGCAGGCCUAACACAUGCAAGUCGAACGCGACCUUCGGGUCGAGUGGCGCACGGGUGAGUAACGCGUGGGAAUCUGCCCUGUGGUACGGAAUAACAUCGGGAAACUGGUGCUAAUACCGUAUAUCCCCUGAGGGGGAAAGAUUUAUCGCCAUGGGAGGAGCCCGCGUAGGAUUAGCUAGUUGGUGGGGUAACGGCCUACCAAGGCGACGAUCCUUAGCUGGUCUGAGAGGAUGAUCAGCCACACUGGGACUGAGACACGGCCCAGACUCCUACGGGAGGCAGCAGUGGGGAAUAUUGGACAAUGGGGGAAACCCUGAUCCAGCCAUGCCGCGUGUGUGAUGAAGGCCUUCGGGUUGUAAAGCACUUUCGCACGUGACGAUGAUGACGGUAACGUGAGAAGAAGCCCCGGCUAACUUCGUGCCAGCAGCCGCGGUAAUACGAAGGGGGCAAGCGUUGUUCGGAAUUACUGGGCGUAAAGGGCGCGUAGGCGGUGCUCUAAGUCAGGCGUGAAAGCCCUGGGCUCAACCCGGGAAUUGCGCUUGAUACUGGAGCGCUUGAAUCCAGGAGAGGUUGGUGGAAUUCCCAGUGUAGAGGUGAAAUUCGUAGAGAUUGGGAAGAACACCGGUGGCGAAGGCGGCCAACUGGACUGGUAUUGACGCUGAGGCGCGAAAGCGUGGGGAGCAAACAGGAUUAGAUACCCUAGUAGUCC